AAUUUUUUUUGAGAGUUCAAAUCGAAAAAAGAGUUUGCGACCUCGAUGUUGGAUUAAAAUAUAAUUUUGGUGUAGAAGCUAAAAAAUUAGGUCUGUUCGACCUUUGAUAUUUUACAUGAUCUGAGUUUAAACCGGUGUGAGCCAGGUUGGUUUCUAUCUUUAUAAAAAUAAGAUAUUUUAGUACGAAAGGACCAAAUAUUUGAUUUAAAAUUUUUUUAUAG
rnacentral:rRNA from 1 species